rnacentral:rRNA from 1 species
UACGGGGGGUGCGAGCGUUAUUCGGAUUUAUUGGGCGUAAAGGGCGCGUAGGCGGCCGGGCAAGUCUGGUGUGAAAACGCUACCGCUCAACGGAGCGAGUGCACCGGAUACUGCCUGGCUUGAGUGCGAGAGAGGUAAGCAGAAUACCUGGUGUAGCGGUGGAAUGCGUAGAUAUCAGGUAGAAUACCAGUGGCGAAGGCGGCUUACUGGCUCGUUACUGACGCUGAGGCGCGAAAGCGUGGGGAGCAAACGGG